rnacentral:misc_RNA from 1 species
AAAUUAAAAAAAAAAAAAAAAUGCCCUCAAUCAUAAAAAAAAAAUCCAAGAAAUUAUUUUAAAACAAAAUUCAAAGAAAUAAUUUUUUUAAAAAAAUUUCUCCUAGAAAAAACAUUAAUUUCCAAGAAUAAAAUAUUUUUCUAAAAAAAAAUCCAAGAGAAAAUUUCAGAAAUUUUCCCUGGAAAAGGUUUUUCCAAGAAAAAAAAUAAUGCAAUAAAUAUCAAACAGGGCUAAAAGUGUCUUUUUCGGUAAUUUAACUUUGAAAUAUUGACUUGCUAGUAAUUAUGAUCUAACUUCAAGGGGAAAAUAGCAGUUCUCCCUUAAUUUUAGAUAAAAUAGUCUGCUCCCAUGAUCUGGCAAUGGUAUGAUUCAUUCACUAUGUCAUAGUUGGAAGUUUACUUGAUAUAAUGAAGACAGUUGCCACUGCAUAAGGGAUGAUAAGGAGCUUAAGAACACCAGACAAUGUGGAUGGCUUGACUAGGGUUUGGAAAAAUUGAAGUUUUGGUGUGUUAUUUGGUGUUGAGGAUACAGUUUAGGUUCAAUUGAGGAUUAAAGGGAUAACUUUGCUGAUUUGGAAAUCCAAACUUGAAAGACAUUUAAUAUAAGGGGAAAUAAACAUCAAGUAUAGCUAAUCCUGCAUAGGGUUUCCUAGGCAGUCAUGCCUCCAAAAGAGUUGUUGAAAUUUCUUUGUUGUCUCUAUCACAAAUUAUGUAUUAUGGUAAGGAGCUCAAUAAUUCAAAAACAGGGAAAGCGAUAACAGAAAUAAGCAAAUAUUCUUCCACGUUCAACUCAAAAAUACUACUUCUUUGUUUACAACAGUAAGAUGAAAAACAUACUCAGCAGAACAAUAGCCAAAAGGAUUAAAUAAGCAAAAGAAAAUAUGCCAAGCCUGCAGGAUUACAAUCACAGCAGAAAGAUUUCUGCCCUUACUACACUAAAUUCUUCACACCUUCCUUAUAGUAGUAUUCUAUUACUAGAACCUUCCCAUCAUUACUCUUCCACGUGUCAGCAUUCCCGGAUCCUCCUCAAGAUUGUUCAGCUGGUAUCGGUAAGCUGGUGCCCAUAUUUUUGCUGCCGAUACUUUUUUUCCCUUCUAGAACACACUUUGAAUGCUCUGGGGCCAGGCCUGCUACCUCCUUUCCUAUCAUAUUACGUAAUGUUUAUAUUGGUUCUUGGUACUACAGUUAGCCUCCUAAUUGUAAUAAUGAGCAUAAUCUAUUUAAAUACAUUACUGAGCCAGAAAUUGCACAGUGCCAGGAAUAGUAUUCACAAUUGAUUUGGGUGUGGUGAUAUAAAAGAUAAGCUAUGUUAUUUUAACUAUAGAAGACCAAACAAAGACCACACAGGAAAGACCAGUUUAACUAAAUAAAACAUACAGAAAAUUCACUGGCCUCACAAAUUCCUCAUUCUUUUAUUUUAUUUUUUUAAAAGAGGGCUGUUGUUAAAGGAUCAGCCCUAAUACUUUGAACUGGAAAAACUUAAAGGAGUGUAACUAGCAGCCAACUAUCUAAAAACCUAAAUAUGUACUAGAACAGACACUAGAAGGUAUUAGGGUCACAUCAUUCUUGGAAAAUAAUUCUAUACUCAUUUUCUACCCUUGCUUUUCCUGAGCUCUUUGUUGACUGCAGGACUUAGCAUGUGGGUUUCUGAAAAGCCUGCAUGCGUGUUUGGCUUGGGCUAUGUGUGCCAAAGAAAUGGCUUGUUAAAGGGAUUGGCAUGAACUAACUUUAGUUAAUUGAAAUUAUGAAUUUUCUUAUACAUAAAAUUGGCGUAGAAACUUUGUAAAGCAAAUUAAUACUGCUUGAAGUAAUGCUAGGUUUUUCUAAAUUUUUAGGAAUAUAAAAUUUCAUAUUUUGAAGUACAGUGUAUGGGACACCCCUCACCCGUCUACAGUGU